rnacentral:rRNA from 1 species
GACAGAGGCCUCAAGCGUUAGGCGGAAUCACUGGGCUUAAAGCGUGUGUAGGCGGGUCGUUAAGUACCUUGUGAAAUCCCACGGCUCACCCGUGGAACUGCUGGGUAUACUGGCGAUCUUGGGCCAUUCAGGGGGCAACUGGAACAAGCGGUGGAGCGGUGAAAUGCGUAGAUAUCGCUUGGAACGCCAAAGGUGAAAAACAGGUUGCUGGGGAAUGUG